GAUGAACGCUGGCGGCGUGCCUAAUACAUGCAAGUCGAGCGAACGGACGAGAAGCUUGCUUCUCUGAUGUUAGCGGCGGACGGGUGAGUAACACGUGGAUAACCUACCUAUAAGACUGGGAUAACUUCGGGAAACCGGAGCUAAUACCGGAUAAUAUUUUGAACCGCAUGGUUCAAAAGUGAAAGACGGUCUUGCUGUCACUUAUAGAUGGAUCCGCGCUGCAUUAGCUAGUUGGUAAGGUAACGGCUUACCAAGGCAACGAUGCAUAGCCGACCUGAGAGGGUGAUCGGCCACACUGGAACUGAGACACGGUCCAGACUCCUACGGGAGGCAGCAGUAGGGAAUCUUCCGCAAUGGGCGAAAGCCUGACGGAGCAACGCCGCGUGAGUGAUGAAGGUCUUCGGAUCGUAAAACUCUGUUAUUAGGGAAGAACAUAUGUGUAAGUAACUGUGCACAUCUUGACGGUACCUAAUCAGAAAGCCACGGCUAACUACGUGCCAGCAGCCGCGGUAAUACGUAGGUGGCAAGCGUUAUCCGGAAUUAUUGGGCGUAAAGCGCGCGUAGCGGUUUUUUAAGUCUGAUGUGAAAGCCCACGGCUCAACCGUGGAGGGUCAUUGGAAACUGGAAAACUUGAGUGCAGAAGAGGAAAGUGGAAUUCCAUGUGUAGCGGUGAAAUGCGCAGAGAUAUGGAGGAACACCAGUGGCGAAGGCGACUUUCUGGUCUGUAACUGACGCUGAUGUGCGAAAGCGUGGGGAUCAAACAGGAUUAGAUACCCUGGUAGUCCACGCCGUAAACGAUGAGUGCUAAGUGUUAGGGGGUUUCCGCCCCUUAGUGCUGCAGCUAACGCAUUAAGCACUCCGCCUGGGGAGUGCGACCGCAAGGUUGAAACUCAAAGGAAUUGACGGGGACCCGCACAAGCGGUGGAGCAUGUGGUUUAAUUCGAAGCAACGCGAAGAACCUUACCAAAUCUUGACAUCCUUUGACAACUCUAGAGAUAGAGCCUUCCCCUUCGGGGGACAAAGUGACAGGUGGUGCAUGGUUGUCGUCAGCUCGUGUCGUGAGAUGUUGGGUUAAGUCCCGCAACGAGCGCAACCCUUAAGCUUAGUUGCCAUCAUUAAGUUGGGCACUCUAAGUUGACUGCCGGUGACAAACCGGAGGAAGGUGGGGAUGACGUCAAAUCAUCAUGCCCCUUAUGAUUUGGGCUACACACGUGCUACAAUGGACAAUACAAAGGGCAGCGAAACCGCGAGGUCAAGCAAAUCCCAUAAAGUUGUUCUCAGUUCGGAUUGUAGUCUGCAACUCGACUACAUGAAGCUGGAAUCGCUAGUAAUCGUAGAUCAGCAUGCUACGGUGAAUACGUUCCCGGGUCU
rnacentral:rRNA from 1 species